rnacentral:rRNA from 1 species
AGGAUCAUUAUCGUACAAAAUGUGUGAGGCAUGUGAGGGGCUGUCGCUGACUUUUAACACAAAAGUUGUGCACGCCUGAGCAUGUCCUCCCACAUAAAAUCCAUCUCACCCUUUUGUGCACCACCGCGUGGGCACCCUUCGGGAUUGAACCGAUCCGGGAGGGGGCUUGCGUUUUCACACAAACCCCUUUUUAAAAGUGUAGAAUGACCUCAUUUUUGCGAUAACACGCAAUCAAUACAACUUUCAACAACGGAUCUCUUGGCUCUCGCAUCGAUGAAGAACGCAGCGAAAUGCGAUACGUAAUGUGAAUUGCAGAAUUCAGUGAAUCAUCGAAUCUUUGAACGCACCUUGCGCCCCUUGGUAUUCCGAGGGGCACACCCGUUUGAGUGUCGUGAAAACCUCAACCUCCCCGGUUUCUUCUGGACACCGAAGGAGGCUUGGACUUUGGAGGCCUUUGCUGGUGUCUCUCUUUUGAAACCCAGCUCCUCUUAAAUGAAUUAGCGGGGUCCUCAUUGCCGAUCCUUGACGUGUGAUAAGAUGUUUCCAUGUCUUGGUUUCUGGCUCUGUUGCCUUUGGGACCUGCUUCUAACCGUCUCAACCUCACAUCGAGACAACGUUUGAGCGUGUCUCCCUUUUCGGGAAACUCUCUCAACCCCACGAACCCUUGACCUCAAAUCGGGUGAGACUACCCGCUGAACUUAAGCAUAUCAAUAAGCGGAGGAAAAGAAACUAACAAGGAUUCCCCUAGUAACUGCGAGUGAAGCGGGAAAAGCUCAAAUUUAAAAUCUGGCGGUCUUUGG